AUAUAUAUUUUUUGAGACAGAGUCUCACUCUGUCACUAGGCUGGAGUGUAGUGGUGAUCUCGGCUCACUGCAACCUCUGCCUCCCAGGUUCAAGUGAUUCUCCUGCCUCAGCCUCCUGAGUAGCGGAAUAUGAGUCAUCUCCAAUGAGCGACAGAGUCACACAAGUCACCGGGCCACCGGACAGGGGUCCUUCCCCUUUGAGGUGGCAAAGCUGGAGAGAGGCAGGACCCUUUGGCAAGAAUCAGCAUUUUAGAUGUUACUUCAGCACAAAUAAAAAACUAGAAGCGACAAUACAAUCCAGAGUUGCCAUAUACAGGCCAAGAAAACUUAUGACUCUGAUGGCAUGCAUGUAGAGCAUAGAACUAAGCUAUGAGCAAACAAAGGUAUAAGAAUGAUACAAUGGACUUUGGGGACUUGUGGGGAAGGGCGGUAGGGAGGCGAAGGAUAAAAGACUACCAAUAUGGUGCAGUGUAUACUCCUUGGGUGAUGGGUGCAACAAAACCUCACAAAUCACCACUAAAGAAAUUACUUGUGUAACCAAAUACCACCUGUACCCCAAUAACUUGUGGAAAAAUUUUUAAAAAGUAAGAAAAUAAAAAUAAAAAAAGAAAUUAGCUGGGCGUGGUGGUGCACACCUGUGGUACCAGCUACUCGGGAGGCUGAGGCAGGGGAAUUGCUUGAACCUGGGAGGCAGAGAUUGCAGUAAGCCAAUAUCUCACCACUGCACUCAAGCCUGGUGACAGAGCGAGACUCCAUCUCAAUAAAUAAAUAAAGUAAACAAAAAUAAAAACAGCUUCUGGAAUGUCUUCAAAUUAUUUCAAAUGGUUGUAAUUGGAGCUGAAGUGACACUAAAGCCUAUUUGAGUCAAACCAGCAGAAUCUGUUUUUGUGCCUGAUGUUCAGAGCUGUUUUAGCUAUAUUAUAGACUGAUGGCUUUCAUUUUUCACUUCAAAUUUCCCUGUAUAGUCCACUAUAUUUUCUCAAGAGCUUAAUAAGGACAAAAGCUAAAAUGGAAGCUUAUUGCUGUCAAUGAUUACCUGCCUGUUAAUGUGUGUGUAGGUAUAUAUAAUGCUAACAGUGCGAUUUUUUCUUAACUACUAUUUAAAGAUGUGUCAAUGGUAAUUCAUUUCACAGAGAGUAACACGAGCCUAAAAAUAGAAUAGGAAGUACCAAAUUAUUCUUAAAGGAAAAACUUUCGUUUGCUGUUUUGAGGUGGACUGGACAAACAAGCAUUUAUUGUUAAAUUAUUUACACUUAAUUGUAAUGCAUUAUACAUUUCAAAAUUAUAGGCAAAUCACCAAGAUAUAUUUCUAGAUAUACGUGUUAAAUGAGUUUGCUCGAAAGGAGACAUCAUUUAUAGUAAGUUUUAUUAUUAUUAUAGACAAGAACAAAUGCAAGUGGAGCCUAUCAAAAUAAGCUACAUUAAGCCCAGGUGCGGUGACUCAUGCCUGUAAUUCCAGCACUUUGGGAGGCCAAGGCGGGUGGAUCACCUGAGGUCAGGAGUUCGAGACCAGCCUGGCCAACAUGGUGAAACCCUCUCUCCACUAAAAAUACAAAAAACUUAGCCAGGCAUGGUAAUCCCAGCUACUCGGGAGGCUGAGGCAGGAGAAUUGCUUGAACUCAGGAGGUGGAGGUUGCAGCGAGCCAAGAUCGUGCCAUUGCACUCCAGCCUGGGUGACAGAAUGGGACUCAGUAUCAAAAAAAAAAAAAAAGAAAAGCUACAUUAAAAGUGAGCAGUCAAUAAAACUCUGAAAAAAAAUACAAGCUGAUGUCAUAAAUUCAUAAAUAAAUAUAUAUUUUUGAGUUUGAGCUAAUAUUUGAAAAGACUGCAGUAUAUUACUCAUAACUGCUUAUACUGUGUAACUGUGUGAAAAUAAUAUAAAGGCAAGGAUGUUUGACAUGAGGACAUUUUUAUUCGAGUGAUUUCUCUAGAGAUUGAUAUUUCACAAGUAUAGAACUAAUAUAUAUUUAUUUGUGAUACAAUUUACAUUUUAUAUAGCAGUAAUAAUAAAUUAAAAUCUUAGCUAAUACCAUUUCAGCAAGGCAAGAACAAUAUCCAUGAAUCUUUUACUAUUUCAUAAUUAAAUGCCAGAUCAAGAAAAUCAGUGAAAAAUGAGCCUUAACCCUGAUGGCUCAUGCCUGUAAUCCCAGCACUUUGGGAGGCCGAGGCAGGCAGA
rnacentral:lncRNA from 10 species